rnacentral:lncRNA from 13 species
AACUUUUUUCAUUAUAAAGUUUUAAAGAUGACUUGGCUCGUUGUACAAUUUGAUGCUGAGGAUACAGUGGAAGCUGUACUAAACACGUGGUACGUUAAGGACAAAUUAAAAUGUUACUGGCCAACCCAGGAUACUGCAAAGCAUAUCAUUAUAGAGUUUAUUAAAUAAAAGCAACUUCCUCAAACAAAUUGGAUGCUCUAUGGUGCUAAUAUUUUGGGCUCUUAUGACGAUUAUAAAGUAGCACAGAAAAAAGCUAAUAAAGCAAAGAACACAAAUAAUCUUUCGUCUAAUAACGAAGCUUUAA